rnacentral:lncRNA from 1 species
UCCUUACAAAUAGUUUUAUCUCUUUAUGCUUCACCUCUUGGAUGAAGCCUCUCACAUUUCAUGUUACUAUGCAAUAAUAAUUAAAAUACAAUCAAUCUAAAUGAGCUAAGUCUAAGGAAAGGGAAACAGUAACCUACUAACUUGCUUGUCUAGAAUAUCCAUAUGUUCCUCCUCAAAAGCCAAGGACAGAUCAAGAUGAACAGAAUUCCACUAAAAUACGUGAGAC